rnacentral:rRNA from 1 species
UACGAAGGGGGCUAGCGUUGCUCGGAAUCACUGGGCGUAAAGGGUGCGUAGGCGGGUUUUUAAGUCAGAGGUGAAAUCCUGGAGCUCAACUCCAGAACUGCCUUUGAUACUGAAGAUCUUGAGUCCGGAAGAGGUGAGUGGAACUGCGAGUGUAGAGGUGAAAUUCGUAGAUAUUCGCAAGAACACCAGUGGCGAAGGCGGCUCACUGGUCCGGUACUGACGCUGAGGCACGAAAGCGUGGGGAGCAAACAGG